rnacentral:rRNA from 1 species
GCGAAACGAUGUCGACUUGGAGGUUGUUCCCUUGAGGAGUGGCUUCCGGAGCUAACGCGUUAAGUCGACCGCCUGGGGAGUACGGCCGCAAGGUUAAAACUCAAAUGAAUUGACGGGGGCCCGCACAAGCGGUGGAGCAUGUGGUUUAAUUCGAUGCAACGCGAAGAACCUUACCUACUCUUGACAUCCAGAGAACUUAGCAGAGAUGGUUUGGUGCCUUCGGGAACUCUGAGACAGGUGCUGCAUGGCUGUCGUCAGCUCGUGUUGUGAAAUGUUGGGUUAAGUCCCGCAACGAGCGCAACCCUUAUCCUUUGUUGCCAGCGGUUCGGCCGGGAACUCAAAGGAGACUGCCAGUGAUAAACUGGAGGAAGGUGGGGAUGACGUCAAGUCAUCAUGGCCCUUACGAGUAGGGCUACACACGUGCUACAAUGGCGCAUACAAAGAGAAGCGACCUCGCGAGAGCAAGCGGACCUCAUAAAGUGCGUCGUAGUCCGGAUUGGAGUCUGCAACUCGACUCCAUGAAGUCGGAAUCGCUAGUAAUCGUAGAUCAGAAUGCUACGGUGAAUACGUUCCCGGGCCUUGUACACACCGCCCGUCACACCAUGGGAGUGGGUUGCAAAAGAAGUAGGUAGCUUAACCUUCGGGAGGGCGCUUACCACUUUGUGAUUCAUGACUGGGGUGAAGUCGUAACAAGGUAACCGUAGGGGAACCUGCGGUUGGAUCACUC